UAGUAUAGAUAUCAGGUCAAGGUAAAAUUGCCAUGUGAUUAUUAUAAUUUUGCCAUCGAGCAGAAUAUGCUACUGUUUUCGAACUUGUUUCCUAAUAAGAUUAUAAAACAGAUAUCCAGAUUAGGUUAUAUAAUAGUUAAAGCUGAAAGCGUAAUAUAUUUGAAAGUGAUCCAAAAAGCACCAUAAAAGAAAUCUCCGGUUCGGCCCUAAGCUAUUUUAGGUCUCGAUGAAAAGAAUGUAUUUCGGUAUGUUAGCUGAGACUGAUGAGCUAAAUUGAUCCGAGGGCUGUGUAUAGGUCUCCAAAGGAACUACUGUUUUUUUAAACUAGUAAGAGACCAGCAGGAGUGAGACCAGAAUACAAAAGGGAACUAGUAUAACUAGAGGGCACAAGAAAGAAAGAAAAAGCCUUAGGCUCUGAGUGAGACCGUGAAGGGACAUAAGACCUAUAAAUAUAUAAUGAAACCGUAGUACUAGCCAAGCUAUGUAAAGCGGGUAUUCUUACAUCAUUCUUCCGGAGUUUAAAAUAUUUUCAUUCGUUUAAUUUCGAAAUGCGGGUAACCGUUAUAACCGCUAGCCUGCUGGGAAUAUUCAUGAAUGGGUGGUAUUUUCCAUUAAAUAAAAACAUUUUUUAAGGAUGUUAUAUUAGAGUCAAUUUAAGCAUUGCCAAUUUCGCGCCAAUCCGCUAAAAAAAUUGGAAUUCAGGCCUGGCCAAUCAACUGUUUAUUUUUAUUUUCUAAGUAGAUUACUAGGCAACUAGCCAAAACAAAUUUUUUUCGAAACGUGUUUGUAUUUCAGUCGAUUUCAGUUAUGUUUGAACGGAUAAAAAAGCGAUAAGAGUUAUAACGACUGAAAACUAAUACUUUGAUAAGAGAGGAAUGCAUCCCCAUCUUUUGAUGGGAAAUGGAAACAAAAUUUAAAUUUCCGUUUAUUUUCUUUCUUAACGAAUGGAAAAAUACCCCCAGAGAUUUUUAUUGCGCCAAAGCUAACGACUUCCUCGCAGCGUUUUCAGUAAACGCCCAUCAUCUACCUUUUAGCACGCAGAUAUGCAAAUAACCGACACGAGUUAUAUCAGCUGAAAUAUUAUUAUUAAAGAGAUGAUAUCAACCAAUUAUUUACAAAUCAAUGGGUUAGAUACAAAGGUCAUAUUCUCAUCUCGCGCAAUUACAAAAUUUAAAAAUAAUAUGCGAAAAAGGAUUUUUGCGCGGUAAAUCAAGUUUGACGAUUUUGCCGCUUGGAGGCGCGAGGAGACUACAUUGAAGGCGGUCGUUCAAAGUAUCUUCGGGAGAAGUAGGUGUGUCGGCCAGAAGACAGAAUCACAAGAGCACGAGUAUAUAAAGAGAAAUAUAAUUUCAAAUCGAACUGGAACGGAAAGUUUACUAGUCCAUUAGCUUUUAAUUGAAUCAACCUUCCCAUAUAACAGUACUUAUCCGGAUUGGAUUCCGUUUCGUGGUGGGGCAGCGUUACUUGUAUCGAGCACGAGCACAAUAGACGAGCUAUGGCUAGUAGCCUUGUCACUUUUGCGGUUAUUAAAUGACGUGCCACUUGAUGUGGUUUCCUGUGUAAGUUAACUAUAACUGGACUGUUACUACGACAACGACAACAUGGUUUUUAAUUGAUGUCGCCGCAGGGAGCAAGUAAUAGCGGAGAAAGGUAGGCAUACAAAUUCUGUUCCAGUUUCCAGUGCGGUAUCAAUGGCAACCAUUGUUUUCGACUCGUUCCUAAAAUUCCUGUAUUAUAGAGCUGCUAUACUGCACUAAUUUCAGUGGCGCAGUUGGUCAGGCGAGGCAGCGAAAUUUUUUACAGCUAUCUUGCCAUCAGUGAAUUCCUUCCUUUUUUUGGAAGAAAUGUCACCUCAUGCAACCUGCUUCAUCCACCAAUUUUCAUUACUUAAAUCGAAGAGGAAAUUUGCAUUUCAGAAACUAUAAAGAACCCCAUAAGAUUAAACCAUUCGUACGGUUGGAAUCAAAGUUAAUUAAAAAAAAAAGCCUAAUUUUGAACCUAGUUAUACAAAUUGAGUUCCAGCAAGAAUGGAACACGGAUCACAAUAUUUGUCCCAAGAGGUGUGUGCGAAACAGCCGCUUCGGGUUUGCUGCUCUCAACGGAACCCAUUUAAGUGAAAGUUGUCUAACAGGGGAACGAGGAAUAAGUGUCGCAAUCUAUAACCUGUCGUCGUUCGACUGAUGCAAUAACAUUUCACCACAUAGACGUCAGUGGUGAAGUUGAAUUUUUAUAUGCUCGACCAUUUUCUUCAAUAAGGAAUAAAAGGUUGGUUAUGAAAACACAAUUGAGAAAUGUGGAAUUCAGGAUCGACUUCGGCACCCCUGGCCAAGGGGAAAAAGUUCCUUCAAAAAUUGCUGUACUCGCAACACGUUGACAAAGAAAAGGACAUGGCCAGCGAAAUACCCGAGCAAUCCCUUCACGAAUAUUUAAUAGCUGACCGAAAAGAAUUUUCUAACCCGGACUUCAGAGAGUACCUAAGGAAUCUGAUAAAAAAUCUCUUAAUUUUAAAAUCAUCGCUCAAAGAUAUUAUCAUCCACGCCACAGUCUUCUCCAAUCCUCUUCCAAUCCCUCUGAAAUCGGGUGUCACCAUUAUUCACGCUUUCGUCGUGUUCAAAACGGAGAGCCAAAUGAAUUCCAAAGUGACGUGGUGGUCAUCUCUAGAAAAGAAUGGGAAGUACAUUGUUCUGCAGCAAUCACUGGAAAAGGAUGACGUCACCCAGAAAUUAUACAACGCUGAAAAGAAGGAUCACGUCAAAAGACUUGAGCCGGUGAAAACCCAGAAAAGUGCGAGAGGCAAUUAAAAAAAUUUAAAAUGUUUUCUGCAUCCAUUUGGGAUACUAGUCACUAGUCAGAUAAGCAGUCCGUAUCAUCGUCUGAUUUCCAAUUGCCAAAAUUUCGCAUCUUUCGUCUUCGAAAAAUCAACUUUUCAUGAGAAAAAAGUGGUCGACGCCGAUCAGUGCUGCGGUCGGCCGAAUUGGAUUUAG